rnacentral:rRNA from 1 species
CGUAGGGACCAAGCGUUGUUCGGAUUUACUGGGCGUAAAGGGCGCGUAGGCGGCGUGACAAGUCACUUGUGAAAUCUCUGGGCUUAACCCAGAACGGCCAAGUGAAACUAUUGUGCUAGAGUGCAGAAGGGGCAAUCGGAAUUCUCGGUGUAGCGGUGAAAUGCGUAGAUAUCGAGAGGAACACCAGAGGUGAAGACGGGUUGCUGGGCUGACACUGACGCUGAGGCGCGAAAGCCAGGGGAGCAAACGGGAUUAGAUACCCCGGUAGUCCUGGCCCUAAACGAUGAAUACUUGGUGUCUGGAGUUAUUAGUGCUCCGGGUGCCGUCGCUAACGUUUUUAGUAUUCCGCCUGGGGAGUACGCUCGCAAGAGUG